rnacentral:lncRNA from 1 species
GUGCUUUUACACAUAGGUCCCUGGAAGCUCGGUAAAUAGUUAGUUUUUCCUUGUGUCUUGUUUAUUUUUCAUCCAUGUCCCUGAUUAGAUUGGAUCCCUGCAACCAAGUCCAACCCAAGCACUUUAACAGAUCUAACCCUAUACUUUGACCUAAUGGUGAGCUCUAUUCCAGUGUCUUGCAAAUCUUCCAUGCUAGCCCCAAUAACCUUCGUUUAUCGCGAGUAGGCCCUGCAACCUUGUUUAACCCAUAGAUUCCACGUUUCGGCUUCAUUUAUAUCCAUUCUUGUUCCGUUAGGUUCAUGAUAACACAAAUUACAUGUUAGUAGUGAUCUUUCCAUCAUGCAUAUUUUUAAAAUAAAUUUAAUAUUAAUCUGAUUAAUGCCUAUUGGACAUGUCUUCUUUAAUUAAAAGCUACUUAGUGUUAUAACCGCUUUUCAUAAUAAAUGUUAAUUUAGUUAAUGCUUAUUUAAAUAACUCUUUCAAUUAAAAGCGAAUUAGAGAUGCACCACGGUUGUUCAUAAUUAAACUUAAAUUGAUUAAUGUUUAAUCAAUUUAUUUUCUAAAUAAAAGCUACAUAAGUUAUAU